UACAGAGGUCCCGAGCGUUGUUCGGAUUCACUGGGCGUAAAGGGUGCGUAGGUGGUAGGGUAAGUCGGAUGUGAAAUCUCGGAGCUCAACUCCGAAACGGCAUUGGAAACUACCCAACUUGAGGGUCGGAGGGGGGACUGGAAUUCUCGGUGUAGCAGUGAAAUGCGUAGAUAUCGAGAGGAACACCAGUGGCGAAGGCGAGUCCCUGGACGACUCCUGACACUGAGGCACGAAAGCUAGGGGAGCAAACAGG
rnacentral:rRNA from 1 species